AAAACAGUUUCACCUAUUUUGAACAAACUGUCCAUCACUUAUCAGCCACGACACCUCCAUGUUUUCAAGCUACAUCAUCUCUUUCUCUUUCUAUUUCUCUUCCUUCUUCAUAUUUUUUCAAUCCGACUCUUUCUCUUUCUCCUCCAUCUUCAUCUUUUCCAAAUUCGAAAAUUAAUUCCUACUUCUCUUUCUCUUCGUCUUCAUGUUCAUCAAUAAUAUCUUCAUGAUGAAUACAGAAGGUUUAUUAGGGUUAUGAGCGAGAUUUGUGGAUUUGGUUGAAGGAAAUACACGGCUGGUUUUGUGAUGUGUUCCAUUUUUUGAUGUUUAUCCCAAAAAUUUCUCCCAAAUUUAGUUUUUCUUUGACUUCAUUAUUGGAGUUUUAGUUCAGUGUUUAGAUUUGCAAGUCUCAACUUUUGGGGUCGAAGAAUCAGAGGGCGGUGUUGGUGAAAUCAGAAUUACAUUGUAGUAAUGAGCAGUUGUUGCGGUUUGAGAUCUAAUUUCGUCAUCAUGGAAACCGAACUCAAUAGUAGGAGUACUAGAGGAAGAGAGGUUUUGGUACCAUUUUUGGUUCCACUGUUAAUCCUAGAUCACUCAGGUUUCAACCUUCUGGUUUGUCUUCUAUUCCUGGAAACUUUAAUUUCUCAGUUAUUCCAAUUUUGAGUCUGAUUUUAUAGCUCUUUGUUUAUCUCUCUCCCCAUCAAUGCUUUAGGGUUUUACCUUUAUUGAUUUCAUGAAUGGUUUUCUCUCUCUUAUUCUUGAUUUUAAGUUAUUUUCAUAAUCAAUGAACAGGUUUAUUUUGUACAAAAAUUGGCACGAUCCUGUUCGUGGCGUGGUUACUGGUGACAUGAUUAGGGAAUGAUAUAUAUAUAUAUAUAUAUAUAUAUAUAUAUAUAUAUAUAUAUAUAUAUAUAUAUAUAUAUAUAUAUAUAUAUAUAUAUAUAUAUAGACACACACGAUUUCAACUUUUAGUAGUGCCAUUUUAAACUUCAUGUCCUAUUUCUGCAGAGAUUUGUUGGUUUCGUUUGCAGGGAAACAGGAAGGAAGCCGCAAAGGAUUAUAUUUUAUAGUAUACAUUUUAAAAAUAAUAUCAUGAUAUAUCUAAAUGAUGAAAUCUAAAUGAACUACUGAUUUUACAGGGAUUGUGUAAGUGAAGGACAGUCUUACCAGGUUCUACUAUACGAACUGGAUGCGUUUCAGAAGGGUUACUUUGUUCUCCUCUUGUGGAUGCCAGUUUAUUUCAAAAGCACAACUACAUGUCACUCAAUCGUCCGUAAAUUGAUGCAGGCGUUGGCGGACGGUUUUCCGGAUAAUUGUGAAGUUGUUCUGACCUGUCAUGCAUUUUCUAAUUUGUUUGAAUUUCAAUGACAAACUGGAGAUAAUUAUGCGGUCCACAUCUGUACCCUGGGGACGUACGGGUAUCCACAUCUUGCCAUGUGAAAAUUUAACUCGGGAGAGCAGUCUGAUAGGCUCAUGGGGAUUGAUGGAAAUCGUUAUAACAUGUAGUGGCGCAUAGCAAAAUUGGAAGUUGUGGAGAAGUCGUGUUUGCUUGGUGGUGUUUUUUCGCGUGAUUCUGUAAUUUAAUCUUUUUUCCUUUUAAUGACCAAAAUACUGUGAGAAGCUGUGCAGCUUCAUUGUUUUUUUUAAAUCUUGCGGCGAAUCAAGUUGCUGUUUAUGAUUUUAGUUUAGGUGAAAACAAAGUCCUAUACUGGUUUUUCAUAAUGGGAGGGUGUUAUGACUUCUAAGUCCUAACUGUUAUGUACAUGUUUGCAUAUGAUGGGGAGAAAAACCUAUUUACUACCGGCUCUCUUCUUCAAAACAAGCUUGAGUUUGAGAUUGUAUUAAAGGAGGCUAGAUCUAACAGGUAGAAAUUAUUAUCUCUGCCACUCCGCCUUGCUACAUCUGCUGUUGUUAUUGCUUGUGUUGUAGCCGCUGGGUUCAGUCUCGAUUCCAAGUUCGGUGGAAAUCAAAAUGUAGCAGUUGUAGGUCCAUGGUGGAACAAACUUUGAAAGAACAAGCAAGUAAUUGUUCAAAUUGGAUGUGAUAUAAUGUACAUGGAUGUGAUAUUGCAACUAAUUGGACCCUGGAUUGUGCUGCCACAUCAACUAAUUGUUCAAAUUGGAUGUGAUAUUCUGUACAUGGUGAUUGGAGGGAAGUGUCUAAAGAAAUUCAUGAAGAUUGCAUGCAAUGAUUGUACACAACUCAAACAGCCCUACUGGAUUUUGAUUUUUGGUUCCAUUCAUUUCUUUCUCUCUAGCUUCCCAAUUUCAAUUAUAUUACUUAUGUUUCUUUAGCAGCAAUUGUCAUGUCAUUAAGGUAAAUAAUAUUAUGAUGCUACGAUAUUUUAGUUUAUUUGAUAUCAAUUUGGUAUCAUCCCUCAGGAGUCUGUCAUUUUCGAAGCGAAUAUUUUCUCGGAAGUGUCACAAUGGCUAUCUGACGUUUUUGGGUUUCCCUAUACAUGAUUCUGUUUUGCAUUGUUCUUAAUGAUUUUUGAUAAAUUAUUUGGACAUUUAAAAGAUGGCUUGAAGAUUGCUUCAAGGAUACUGAUAUGCAAAUAUGUCAUGCGCGUAUCCUUGACCUACAACGCAAUGGGCUGCACUGCUCUGAUGCGGCUGGAAGCAGUGAACUCAUUUUUGCCGCUCCUCUUUUAACUUAUAAAAAUAUGCUCGGUUCAAAUGUUGCUACUGGAUGAAAGUCAACUACCUUCCAUAUGAUAUCUCUCUGCCUGGUUCACAUUUUUAUAUCAGUAUACUUUAUAUGUUUGUAGAAUCUAAUCCAUGUUGGAAAAAUGAUGUUCUUUAUUUUUAUUUUUAUAGUUUUUAUUUUUAUAUUUUUAUAGUUGGAAACAUGGUCCACAUUCUGUAGUUUAAUUUGGCUCCCAAAGAUGCUACUGAAGUACCAAAUAAGCUAACUCAUUGACAUGCAUGAGAUCCUAUGCAAAAUAUUGAUUUAGCUAAGUGUAACUUUUCUUCUAUAUUCCAUUAUGGUGUAUCAUUUAUAGACACUUUAUCAAAUCAUAAGGAUGAGACAGUUAAAAAAUAAUUUGAGACAUCUCUUGUUGAGUUUUAUAUUCUGUUUAAAGAAGCAGUGGAUUGAUUCAUGAUGUGAAUAUUUUCAAGCUUCAAAGACAUAUUUUUUUUUUGGGUUAAUACUUUCAUUGAAGAGCAUAUAUUCUAAUGAGAUAAUACUAUUCUAAACAACAUUUAAAGUUAUAGCAAGUUAAAUAAGGUCCUACAUAUGUUGCCAAACAAGAUCACCACAUGAAAUUAACACAUGGUAUGUAAUUAAGAAAACUAAAGCCUGAUAAUUUCAAAAUUCCCAACUAACUUGCUAACCGAAAUUACAUCAUGAAUCAAAAUUAAGAAUGUUAAUCUUAAGUAGUUACAACCAUUACAUAGUGUUGAAUUUGUCAAAAGUAGCGAAUUAACUUUCUGGUAU